GACACGCUGGCGGCGUGCCUAACACAUGCAAGUCGAGCGGGGUUGAAGCGAGGGGUAACUCGGACUUCUACCUAGCGGCGGACGGGUGAGUAACGCGUGGGCAACCUGCCUCAAGGUUUGGGAUAACAGCUCGAAAGGGCUGCUAAUACCGGAUAUGCCUGUGGCCUCGCAUGGGGCUAUGAGCAAAGGGGAAACCUGCCUUGAGAUGGGCCCGCGUCCCAUCAGCUAGUUGGUGAGGUAACAGCUCACCAAGGCGACGACGGGUAGCCGGCCUGAGAGGGUGACCGGCCACACUGGGACUGAGACACGGCCCAGACUCCUACGGGGGGCAGCAGUGGGGGAUCUUGCACAAUGGGCGAAAGCCUGAUGCAGCGACGCCGCGUGAGCGAAGAAGGCCUUCGGGUUGUAAAGCUCUGUCUGGAGGGACGAAGGAAGUGACGGUACCUCCGGAGGAAGCCACGGCUAACUACGUG
rnacentral:rRNA from 1 species